UACGGGGGGAGCAAGCGUUGUUCGGAUUUAUUGGGCGUAAAGCGUGCGUAGGCGGCUGCGCAAGUCGGGUGUGAAACCCCGGGGCUCAACCCCGGAACUGCAUCCGAUACUGCGUGGCUAGAGGUAGGUAGGGGAGAUCGGAAUUCCUGGUGUAGCGGUGAAAUGACGCAGAUAUCAGGAGGAACACCGGUGGCGAAGGCGGAUCUCUGGGCCUUACCUGACGCUCAGGCAUGAAAGCUAGGGGAGCGAACAGG
rnacentral:rRNA from 1 species